rnacentral:rRNA from 1 species
CCUACGGGUGGCAGCAGUGGGGAAUAUUGGACAAUGGGCGAAAGCCUGAUCCAGCCAUGCCGCGUGUGUGAAGAAGGCCUUCGGGUUGUAAAGCACUUUCAGUGGGGAAGAAAGCCUUGGGGCUAAUACCCUCGAGGAAGGACAUCACCCACAGAAGAAGCACCGGCUAACUCCGUGCCAGCAGCCGCGGUAAUACGGAGGGUGCGAGCGUUAAUCGGAAUUACUGGGCGUAAAGCGCGCGUAGGCGGUCUGAUAAGCCGGUUGUGAAAGCCCCGGGCUCAACCUGGGAACGGCAUCCGGAACUGUCAGGCUAGAGUGCAGGAGAGGAAGGUAGAAUUCCCGGUGUAGCGGUGAAAUGCGUAGAGAUCGGGAGGAAUACCAGUGGCGAAGGCGGCCUUCUGGACUGACACUGACGCUGAGGUGCUAAAGCGUGGGUAGCAAACAGGAUUAGAUACCCGAGUAGUC